rnacentral:rRNA from 1 species
AGUCUGGUGCCAGCAGCCGCGGUAAUUCCAGCUCCAAUAGGAUAUAUCAAAGUUGUUGCAGUUAAAAAGCUCGUAGUUGAAUUUCUGGAAGGUAGAAGUGUUUUUUUAGAGAAGCAAUUUUUUAUGAAAGACACCGCUUUCCAUUUUGUGGAUUUCUGUUUUGUAUAAAGAUAGUUUACUCUAUUUUUAUAUAAAAUACCACUCCGUCACUGAGAGCAAAUUGGAGUGCUCAAAGCAGGCUUUAUUAGCUUUGAACAUUUUAGCUUGGAAUGACAAGAUAUGACUUUUGUUUUAUUUUGUUGGUUAUGAAAUAAAAGUAAUGAUUAACAGGAACAGUUGCGGGGGUACUCGUAUUGAAAGGUCAGAGGUUAAAUUCUUGGAUUCUUUCAAGACGAACUACUGCGAAAGCAUUUACCAAGGAUGUUUUCAUUAAUCAAGAACGAAAGCUCGGGGAUCGAAGAUGAUUAGAUACCAUCGUAGUCCGACGCCAUAAACGAUGCCGACUCGGGAUUAUUUUGUUUGUUUACAUUAAAAAAGAACACAAAGUAGCACCGUAUGAGAAAUCAAAGUCUUUGGGUUCCGGGGGGAGUAUGGUCGCAAGGCUGAAACUUAAAGGAAUUGACGCAAGGGCACACCAGAGGUGGAGCCUGCGGUUUAAUUUGACCCAACACGGGGAAACUUACCAGGUCCAGACAUGAUGAGGAUUGACAGUUUGAAAGCACUUUCUUGAUUUCAUGGGUGGUGGUGCAUGGCCGUUCUUAGUUGGUGGAGUGAUUUGUCUGGUUGAUUCCGAUAACGAACGAGACGGGGUGAAUUUACUAGUUUGUUAUAUAAUUUACGUUAUAUAAGACUUCUUUAUUCGACAACUUGGUUUUACCAAGAGGAAGCGCCCCGCAAUAACAGGUCUGUGAUGCCCUUAGAUGUUCUGGGCUACACGCGCGCUACAAUGACGAAUUCAACGAGUUUAAAAUUAAUUCCUUAUCCGGAAGGAUGUGGGUAAUCUUUUCAAUAUUCGUCGUGAUGGGGCUAGAUUUUUGCAAUUAUUAAUCUUCAACGAGGAAUCUCUAGUAUGUGCAAGUCAUCAGCUUGCGCAGAAUGCGUCCCUGCCCUUUGUACACACCGCCCGUCGCACCUACCGAUUGGACGAUCCGGCAAGAUGUUUGGAGUUGUUUUGAUUGUAGAGUAAUUUAUGAUGAAAAUGACAAAGCUCUU